CCAAGUUUCUGGGAUGAGUAAAUUAGUAGAAUGAAUAUAAUUUAUUAAGAUAGUAUAUUCAAAAGAUGAACAGUUUUGCAGUAUGGAGUGGGGAAGGUUGAUGGAAGUCUCCAAAAUGAAACCACUGAUAAAUUUGAUAUGCCUGUGAGACAAGAAGAGGAAGUUGGAGGCAUGUGAGGUGCAGGAAGGAUUCUAAGCAGUGGUGCUGGCUUUGAAGAUGGAAGGCAUUGUACCUCAAUGAAUGUGACUGGUUUCUAGAAGCUGAGAGUAGCCAGCCCCCAGCUGACAGCCAACAAGGAAACAGGGACCUUGGUUCUCCAACCACAGAAAAUAGAUUCUACCAACAAGAAUGAGCUUGAAAGCAGAUUCUUCCCUCGCACUUAAAGUCUCCUGCAACUAUGGUGAUACACCUUGAUCCGGCAUCUUCCAUUCACCUCUCCAGAUUCAUUCUCCAUGCCUCAGUACUCUGUGCUAUUUCCCAGAAGGCUGAUCCUUAAGGACUACACCUGUGGGAUCCCUUGUCACUGGCAAUGGGACAAUGGGAGGUGCCAGCAGAAAAUCAGAGUGAUGAAGAAUGAGGUCUGGGUAUUUAUCUCCUGGCUUUCUGUAAGUAUACAAGGUGAUAAAAAGGAAAAUGAUUCCUAACAACUUGGGGGUAUGUGGAAGCAGGGGAAGGGGGUGCUGUGGGCUGAACUGUGUUUCCUCAAAGUCAUAUGCUGAAGCUCAAACUCCUAAUGUGACUGUAUUUGGAGCAGGGGCUUUUAAGAAGUAAAGUUAAAAGAUGUCACAAGGUGAACGUCACAAUCCAUUGGAAUAGGUGACCUUAUAAGAAAAGGGAGAGAGAUCUCUUCCUCUCCAGACACACACACACACACCCACACACACCAAGGAAAGGCCAUGUGAGCACGUGGUGAGAAGGCAGCCGUCUGUAAGCCAGGAAGAGAGACCUCACCAGAACUCAACCAUGUUGGCACCUGAUCUCGAACUUUCCAGCCUCUAGAACUGGAAGAAAGUACAUUUCUGUUUAAACUACCAGGUAUGUGAUAUUUUGUUAUGGCAGCCUGAAAAGACAUACAUGGGCAGGGAAGACUUCUCAGAGGUAUUUCUUGAGCUGAGACUUUUUGUUUCCUAGUGGUGGGAGGUAGGGUUUUCCAGGCAGAGAACACCAUGCAAUAAGGCACAAAAUUUCAGGGAAUAGUAUGUAUCAAGCACUUGGAUCAUAGAGUGCUUGGAAGGGAAGUGGAAGAGGCUGGAAAAGCAAGCAGAGGCCAGAUGUUAGGGUUUAAUGUCAAAGGCCAAGAAAUUUGCCUAAAAGAAGUCCAGUGGGAAACUACUGAGGGUUCUUAAGUCAUCUGAAGUAUGUAAUAGUAUCCAUGUUCAAAAGACCAUUCUUGUGAUUGUGUGAGAGGCCAGACUAAUAAAGAGGUAGAGAAUAAUUUAACUCUGAUUUUUGAAAUGUGCCCGAUGGAGCCCUCAGGGUCCUAAGUCAAGGAUCACCAUGAAGCUGGAGGAGGAGGCUAAGUGGGCAGGGUCAUGGGAUCCCAUGUCUACUUCACCCACAUAAGUUCUGUGGCCCUAGACUAGACCUGGAAUCUUUGUUACACUCAGGACAACUAGUCUAGAAUAUUUUACUUCAAAGACUGUACUGAAAGAGGCUACAUAGGGAGGUCAAAGGCACCUGCUUCAGCUCUUUUAGCUAUGGUGAAAAAGUCAGGGAAUUAUCAAGAAUUCUGAGAGAAAUGUGACUGGACCCAUGCCAGGAAGAUGUCAGAACUACUAAGAAAUACCAAUGGGGUGGACUGUUAUCAACCCCAGCUGAAUGACAGGCCAUAUGCAAAGUCCUAGACUAUUAUGGCUCUUAGAUUUUCAGACUACACCCAGUUGAUUAAAUGAGUCUGUGUGAUAAAUUGAAAUGUAAAAGGUUAUUUUCAUGCCAUGGAGAUCUGCUCUUGUCGGAUAUAUUUUCAUCUGAAAAUAUCGAUUAAAAUGAUUAAUAUAGACAUAACAAAAAUGACUAACUUGCUUUAGAGAAAAGAUGAUAUCUCUUAGGAAUGAGCUUUAAAAUCUCACGAGCGGUUUUUGGCAACUGCAUAGCAGAACUAAAAAGAAUGCAGGUUAAGUAUCUCUUACCCAAAAUGUUUCACAAGUAAAAUAAAACAGAAGUGUAUCAGAUUUCAAAUUUUUUUUAAAUUUUGGAAUAUCUGCAUAAACAAUGAGAUAUCUUGGGGAUAGGGCCCAAGUUUAAACAUAAAAUUAAUUUCUGUUUCAUAUACAGCUUAUGUACAUAAGCUGAUGGUAAUUUUAUACAUAUUUUAAAUAAUUUUGUACAAGACACAAAGGUUUGAAUGCAUUUUUGAAUGCAACCUGUCACACGGUCAGGUAUGUGAAAUUUUCCACUUGUGGCAUCGUGUUGACACUCAAGAAGUUUUGGUUUUGGAGCAUUUUGGAUUUUGGAUUUUAUGUAUUAUAAGAUUGUAAGGUAAAAACUAUGCCCAGGAGAGGGCAGUGCAGCCUUCUGUAAAGUUAACUAAUAGGCCCAAUAGAAAAUAGUGUGAGCAUUAAGAGCAGAGAUGUUCUAAUUCAUGAAAACUAUUUUGUGUUAAGUCACUUUACCUUUUUAAAACAUGAGAGACAUACUGCCACUUCUAUGUCCCUUGAAGAGACAGCACAAGGGAGAGCUGCUUAAGUCUUGUAAAAAAAAAUUCUGGAAAACUUUAGCUCCCUAAAACUGAAGAAUUGUAUCAAAACUGAAGAACUGUAUCAGUUCUAGCAGGUUUCUACUGACUUUCCUAUUUUAAACAAUUAUCUUUGUUUCUGAAAACUGAUUCAAUAAACUAGUUUUUAAAAGAGA
rnacentral:lncRNA from 1 species